GGAUACUCUGUAGUUGUUGUAGGGGGAGAUGUAGUUGUGGUUGUAGUUGUCUCUGGAGUUGUUGUAGUGGGAGUUGUAGUUGUGGUUGUAGGAGGCUUUGGAGUUGUCGUAGUGGGAGUUGUAGUUGUGGGAGGCUCUGGAGUUGUCGUAGUGGGAGUUGUAGUUGUGGUUGUAGGAGGCUUUGGAGUUGUCGUAGUGGGAGUUGUAGUUGUGGGAGGCUCUGGAGUUGUCGUAGUGGGAGUUGUAGUUGUGGUUGUGGGAAGCUCUGUAGUUGUUGUAGGGGGAGUUGUAGUUGUAGUUUUUGUGGUUGUCGUAGGCAUCGUUGUUGUGAAUGUUGUUGUUGUUUCACAUACUGGACAGCAUAAUCUGAAUUUGUAGU